CACAACAUCACCGCUAGAUGCCGCUAAAUUUCAUACACCGGACCUAUAAAUGGUUUAACUGAGUUCCUGAGCAUAUUCACAUUCCUGUUAAAUUUGAGGCUUGUAAUCCCGUAUAGAAGGUUCAGAUUUUGGAGUACAAGGCACACUUGCCACCAGUUCGGUCCAGUUCUGCCUUUUAUGUGGUGAUUUACUGCGUUUUGGCACAUGUGCAGUCCCAGACUCACAAAAGAGGUGUGAUCUGUCAUUCCCACAGACGCCACCGAUGGACAAGGAGAACAAGACUCAAUGGAGGCAAGGAGAUGAGGUUUGGACUGUGCGCAACCUACGUGACGCGUCCUUUUCUCUCGAUUGUUGUGCUCACUGCCUUAUUUUCCAGUAGGCAACGCAACCGUUUUGAAACCACAAACAACGCAUGUGGAUUGACCCGCUCACUCUGCUCGGUUCAGGAACAAGACAACAUUGAAGCUCGAGGCACAAGCGUGUGCAUGGCUGCAUUAUGUCCUCGUGUGUGGAUAAACAGUCAGUCAAUGAUGGUGACUUACGACACACCACGCUGAGAAAUUAAAGACAUGUGCCACCAGUGAAUGAAUCCAUUCUUGUGGCGUGAGGCUGUAGACGUCUGAGUGGGUUCCUCACAGCAUGCGCUAAACAUGCUAGUGCAUAACAGUCAUUGAACGGCAGACUGCCAUGCUUGUCGUGCAUAGCAACACAAGACUCUUGAAUAGCAUUCGCUGUGAAACACGUCACUCCAAAAGCUUCGUCUGGAACCUUUUUUUUAUCGUUUAAUUUAAUAUUUGGUCUGCUUAUAAUAUAAGGAAAAGUUUGAUGUCUAAAACAAAUGUAUUGUUUUAUGAAUUAUGAACACAUCUUCUUUUUAUAAUACUUUAAAAUAGAUUGGACUAAGAAUUGCUUUGUUGCAUUUUUACAGUUUUUUAAAGCUGAAUGUUUGGUGUUAAAAGGACAGUUUACCCCAAAAUGAAAACAUUUAUUCACCCUCAUGUGGUUUAAACCCUAUAUAUGACUUGUUUAUUCUGUGGAACACAAAAGAAGAUAUUUUGAGAAAUGUCUCGGUGGUUUUGUGUUUAUACAAGGGAAGUCAAUGGGGUUCUAUGUUGUUUGGUCACCAACAUUCUUUAAAAUACCUUCUUUUGUGUUUUGGAACGACAUGGAUGAGUCAAUAUCUCGUAUCUUAUUUCUUUUCUUUUUCGUGUCCCAUCAUGGCAGUGUAAAUGUUUGCAUGUUCGAAAGUCAUGAUAAUCAUAUCAAAGAUCAUAUCCGUUUUUUAUAUUAAGAACCUCUUUGCACAAGUUUAUGGUCACCGUAGCCUACAUUUGACAAGUAGGGCAGUCGUGUUUGGCUGCGCACAUCCAUCGAAAGAUCCGGGAAUGACAGAUGAGGAAAUGACAUCAGGAUCUGUUUCCCAUCUGCUGAGAUCAAAAAAGGACGUGGAGGCGAAGUUAAAAUCAGAUCCGAGCGCACCGAUCUGUUUUCUCUUUGGUCCACAGAAGCUGUUUAUGUGUGGUGAAGCUCUGCUCAAACACUCGAAGCGUUGACCCUGGCCUUGCCCGACACUGAGGCUGUGACUGUGGACUAACAUUUACUCUACAUGACACGUCCCGCUUGUUUCCGCUUGAGUCAAUACAGAAAUCCUGACUGCACACGCUGCGAGUCUACAUUGAUGUCUGUGCUACAGCGCUUGGAGAUCUGUCUGAAGAUGAAAGCAAGUUGGAGAAACAGAACAAACCCGAGUGAAGGGAAUGGAGGUUUGCGGCGCAGAGCAGCUUUAGAAAUCAGAUCCUCUUAGAAACUGGAGUCAUUUCGAUGUCUUGGUCUAAUCCUGUACUGGCCCAAAACCCUGCUGUGAGAGAGAAAGAGUUACUGAGUAACCCAGUUCACUGCUCAUCUCUUACAAUCUCUCCAGAACUACUGACCCCCGGCUGCCCUCACCCGCCCUCGGAGGUCACACCCCUCCCUCAUGUUAUCACUUUCACUCUCACAUGCAUUCACACACAUCAUGUAUGCUACGGUGCUAAAGAAGGCACAUCUAAUGUGCUCACAAUUAUAUCAACGUCUGUGCGGUGACUACCCUGUUGGGGUCCAAAAAGUGCCAAAAAUGAAAUAUCACUUUUGUCUCAGAUAUAUCUCCGAUAAGACACAAAAGAGUCCGAGAGUGUUUAAGAAUGGCCUGAAAACCAUUUGAAGAAUUGAAUGAGAAAGACAUUUUUGGGCUUUUGAUUGCAGACCAUAAUUAAUAUUUGACAUUGCUGAGAUGUCUUCCGGAACUUUGGAGGUGACGUGAGAUUAUAAGGGUCUUGUUUUAAAGACAAAGUAUGCCUUUCAUCUCCAUUUAAUUGGAUUUCUGUCUGGGAAACAUCAUUGAAAUGCAACAAGAUUAUUUCAGGUAAUAUUAACUGGAUCUUUCAUGUGAUUUGUCUUAACACAGGUAACCAACUCAAGACCCUACCGAAGGAAGGAACGCUGAAGACCCUUUAUUCAUUAAGAGGGAUGCUACAAGAGGCGGUAUGACACCACGUCUUAAUCAGUUAGUGUAAGAACAACAUGACGAAACGCAUUUCAUGAUGAAAACAAUUUCUCCAAGUGUAUGUGUUCAGACGGGACAGCCCGUCGUGCUGGGGUUCCGAGCGUGACCACUGGUUUUUGGGGUUUUAGGGCUUCUGUUGACGCCGGGAUGGGGGUCGAUGGGGGUGUUGCGAGGUUGAACAGCUGAGUUAUUUUAUUUAGUCUGUAUAAAGGCAGCCCAACUGUCAUAACAAAGGAGGAGAACAGCGGGGCCCCUCGACAGACAAUGAGGAGUCAAUGGCUCCAAAGAACAUCUCCAACACAGAGCUCUCGUGAAAAGAGACGUCAUUUCAAUAGGAUUGAGGGGACGCACAUAACAAAGCUAGAAACAAGCUCAAUUGGGGGCAUCAAUCAGCGCUCUCACACGGGACUCUGCACACCGGCCGAUUUGUAGAAAUUCAGCGCUUGGUAAAAUGGAAACAUGAUUGAUUAUUGUGUCCAUGUGUGCUGUAUAAAGAGACAUGAGAUGUAUAAAAAAUGUGGUAACAUGGAGAUCAAAUUCAUUCAGCAGGUUGAUCUUGCUUCAAAACGUCAUCCAGCGUGAGUCUGAAUGUCAUGGAAAAAUAAAGAAUGUGAUUGUAGUUUCAAUCGAUCGAUCUUUUCCGCUCAAGUUAAGGAUCAGAAAUGUAAUGAUUAACAAGUGGCUGUAUGUUAUCCUCUCUCUUCACGUGGGGGCGUUCUGUUUUCGUGAUGUGAUUUUAAAAGCAGUAUGUGUUUUUCCGGAUAAAUAGUCAACGCCUUGCACUCGCUGGUCCAAAACCUGUUGCCAGGUUGUUGCUUUCAGGGUUUUGCUAAAUUGUUCUUAAUAGUGAUGUCUCGGUGGUUGCCAGGGCCGUUGCUAAGUGGUUACUUAUUCGUCCACACCAAAGUAUCUCUUCUGCAGUUUGUCCUCCAAAACCAGGAUAGAAUCUCACUUUUUCGUAGAGGUUUGGUCAUUACCGCGCUAAUUUUACCCGAACAAUGUUUUGCUGUUGAAAACAAUUUUAGUCACAUGCAGAAAUGUGUAAGAAACAAUAGCGCCUUUCAAACACGAUGUCAGCAAAGUGCUGUCAAGCAGAUGUUCAAACACAUUGUCAAAUUAAUGAUUAAGAAAAGCUUUGCUGGCCAGAGCUAGACUCCCAUCACUUUCAACACUCCCCCAGGUCUCUAUUUCUGCCAGAUUCAAUGUCAUUGGGCGGGCCAUAUACUGUACAUGAUUCACUUAAAGUUCACUCAUCAUUAACAUAUUCUUGAGGUGCAUCUUGUGGUUUUGGUAAUUUUAAGUAAUUAUAAUGAAAAAAGUAAACUACUACAUUUAAAAGCAUGUUAGGUUAACUGAUUGUCACCUUGCAUUGUAUGGAUUAAAAAUGAUUUAUGUAAACGUUGUGUGUAAAGGCAAUUCGGAAAAUGUUACUUAAUGUAAUUUAGGAACUUUAAGUAGGUUGAUUUCCAUUGUAUUAUGUAAUUACUGUUCAAUUAGAAAAGUGGAGUUUACUACACUGUAAAAAAAAAACACAUCAUGGUACAUUUACAGUAAAAAGCUUUCCUGUGGCUCAGUGGUUAGAGCAUGGCGCUAGCAACGCCAAGGUCAUGGGUUUGAUCCCAGGGGAAUGCACAUAGUCAGAAACAAAUGUAUAGUGCCAUGCAAUGUAAAAGCGUCUGCCAAAUGUGUGUCUGUGGUUGCCAGAUAUUCAAUAAUGUUACAAUGAAGUUGCAUAACUAUGAAAUGCAUUACGCUGCUGUCCUUCGGAAACCUUGUAUCUCCAUAU